UGCAUUUUUUGGUAAGACGAUGUUAACAAAAGUUGUUAGUCUUGAUGAGGGCUACAACUUUGCUUAAUAUCCUUUUAACAAAUUAUGCGUUUUUAAGAAGAUAGCGCUGCGCAUGCGCAGAACGUAACUCCUUACGCUUGCAUUUUUUGGUAAGACGAUGUUAACAAAAGUUGUUAGUCUUGAUGAGGGCUACAACUUUGCUUAAUAUCCUUUUAACAAAUUAUGCA
rnacentral:miRNA from 1 species